GAAAUGCGAUACUUGGUGUGAAUUGCAGAAUCCCGUGAACCAUCGAGUCUUUGAACGCAAGUUGCGCCCGAAGCCUUAUGGUCGAGGGCACGUCUGCCUGGGCGUCACGCAUCGCGUCUCCCCCAACCCACCUCGUGUGGGCGGGGGGAGGAGGAUGGCUUCCCGCGCCUCACCGGGCGUGGCUGGCCUAAAAAAGGAGCCUCAGGUUAUGCACUGUGCGGCAAUUGGUGGUGGACAAGGCCUUGGCCUCGAAUGCAAUCUCGUGUCGUGCAGUACAUGGCAAUUGUGGGCUCGUAGGACCCUGAGUUGUUCCCAAUUGGAAACAAACCGUUGCGACCCCAGGUCAGGCGGGGCUACCCGCUGAGUUUAA
rnacentral:misc_RNA from 1 species